UAGGAUGGUAAAAUUGUAAUAAAUGACAAAAAAUUUACACCAAUUAUAUUAAAAAUAGGUGUAGAAAUAUUUUUUUUAUACCAAUUAAACUUUUAACCGUUGUAGAAGAAAAAUGUAAAAUUAAAGAAAUAUUUCUUAAUUGCUAAAAACCAUCACAAAUAUUUUCCCUUCUUCCCUUCUUCUCGCCUCCCCCACCACCGUGCUAUUUACAUCUUGCCAACUCGGUUCAACCUCCACAAAUAGCCACCGACUCAACCACUCCAGGUUAGUACCGAGUCGACAUGCUCUCUGAAACGCUCCCCUUCCUCCAGAAAUUUUGCGGCAAAACCAUAGUUGUCCAGUAUGGUGGCGCCGCCAUGAACAAGGUCGGGGCCACUGUCGUAGGUCUCUCCGGCCUCGAUGGCUGCAUCCUCACCGCCCGUCCCAACCCCAAGGCCGCUGAUCUAGGCUUCGUCGGCGAGGUCGCCAGAGUCGACACCGCAGUCCUGCUCUCCUUCAUCGCAGCAGCCACAUCUCGGUCGUCACCUUCGUUGCUGCCGACGAGUCCGGACAUCCUACAACAUUAACGCCGACACUGUUUCUGGAGAACUGUUGUAGUGCUUGGGGCGGAGAAGCAGAUUCUGCUGAACGACGUGGCGGGGAUUCUGGAGGAUGGAAACGAUUCAAACAGCUUGGUGAAGAAGAGUGACAUAAAAAGAGUGAAGAAAAUGGUCGAAGAGAGAAAAGUUGGAAAUGGAAUGAUACCUAGAGUUAAUUGUUGCGUGAGAUCGUUGGCACAAGGGGUUACUACAGCGAGAAAAUCUUCAACUCUAACUCAUUGAUGCAAAGGCCAGGGAAAUCACUGAUGUAAAUCAAGUUUCAUGAGGAUCACUGAUGUAAAUCAAGUUUCAUGAGGAGUUCUCCAAUCUAGGUUGGUGAAGAUGUGGUGGGAGAGCUAACCAAGUCCAUGGAAAAAAUUGGGAUGGAUAUCCUAAUUGUUGCUCUAUUUAGUCUCACUCUUCUCUCUUUUUUUAUUUAUAUUUUAUGGCUAGGAUUUGAGUAUGACGAUUUCCAAUGUGUCUGACUGAGUUUUUUGAGUUACAAGAUUUUAUUAUGUCAUUUUUAUUUUAUUUUAAAUCAUUCUUGGUGGUUUAAUAUAUAAACUGUAAAUGAAACUUAACUUGCUGAUUUGAUGUAGGUUAAUGAUACCAUUGGAACAUUAGCUGGAGGCAGAUUCUACAAUCAGGAUGUAAUUGCUGUUGUGAUUCUUGGUAUUGGGACAAAUGCAGCAUAUGUAGAACGUGCACAUGCUAUUCCAAAAUGGCACACUUAUACCAAAAUCUGGAGAUAUGGUUAUAAACAUGGAGUGGGGUAAUUUCCGAUCAAAUCUUUCUCUUACAGAAUAUGAUCUGGCUCUUGAUGUUGAGAGUUUAAACCCAAGAGAACAGAAAUUGAUUUCGGGCAUGUAUUUGGGGGAGAUUAUUAGAAGAGUUUUGUUGAAGAUGGCUGAAGAAGCUGACUUUUUUUGAGAUAUUGUUCCACCCAAAUUGAAAGUUCCUUUCAUACUUAGCAUGCUUUGAAACAUUACUCCCUAGUUUUUUAUGUUGUGUACACACCCAAGAUGACUAGACUGUUGAAAGAAGCAGAAGAAGGAGUCACCAUUGUGACAGGAUUUGAGAUGUUUAUAGGGCAAGCAUAUGGGCAGUUUGACAAUUGUUGUUAAAGUAAUAAUGAGAUUAACAAUCAGGAAUUUAAUCAUUUUCAAAGCUGAGGGAUUCUAUCUAUUUUGAAGAGGGGGAUUCAGUACAUAUCAAGCUCAUUUAAUUGGAGAACUUAUAUGUGAAGAUUGUUCCAUUCGUUGCUCAAAAUAGCAUUGAGGAGAUCUACCUUUUCAAACAGAACAUUGUGGUCUCUUAUUUCAUGUGAUAUUUAUGUAGCUUUUAUUUCAACUUUUAGUAUUUUCACAUGCACUUUUCAUGUAUCCAGUUUGUAGUUUACUGUGUCUGUAGAUUAUAAUUGAAAUUUUUGUUUGAAAUUUUAUUUAUUAUAUAAUUUAUAUUUAUAUCAUUUCUUUACUUAUAA